rnacentral:rRNA from 1 species
GUGAGGAAUUUUCCGCAAUGGGGGCAACCCUGACGGAGCAACGCCGCGUGCAGGAGGACGCUUUUCGGAGUGUAAACUGCUUUUCUGUGGGAAGAGCAAGGACGGUACCACAGGAAGAAGCCCCGGCUAACUACGUGCCAGCAGCCGCGGUAAUACGUAGGGGGCGAGCGUUGUCCGGAGUUACUGGGCGUAAAGGGCAUGCAGGCGGUCGUACGCGUUUCGGGUGACAGCGGGUGGCUUAACUACCCGAGUGUUCGAAAGACGGUACGACUUGAGGGCUCGAGAGGGACACGGAAUUCCGGGUGGAGUGGUGAAAUGCGUAGAGAUCCGGAGGAACACCGAAGGCGAAGGCAGUGUCCUGGCGAGUGACUGACGCUGAGGUGCGAAAGCUAGGGGAGCGAACGGGAUUAGAUACCCUUGUAGUCC